UUCCGACAUUAUUUACUUUUGAGGUUAUUUGUUUCGUGAUGAAAAAAACGAAAGUGGAUAUAAAUAUGUGUGAUUUGGAAUACUUGGAUGUGUUAGAAUACUAUUGAGAGUGUCCGGGGACCCAACAGAAUGCGUCAUCGACAAAAUCUCUUCAAAUUACCUGACGACAAUUUUCGAUAUAAAUAUCGAUUUACGUUUUUCGAAAUAAUAGUCAAUUGAAUGCAUGAUGAUAAUCCAGGAUGAUCCUAUGAUGCUCAACUGGGCUCGCCAUAAAAUUCAAGACUAUUUUGGCGUUUUGCACGCCGUAUCUCUGCCAGUAAUAUGCAAUGUUUGUAAAAGACUGGAAGCUUGCUAAAAUGUACAAAAAUGCCUAGAUGAGAAAGGGAACAAGAUUGUGUGAUGAAGAACAGUGUCCAACAUGUAUCAGUGCAUUUGACUGUAUAAAUAGACAUCGGAAUAAAAUAUAAUUUUCUACUUU
rnacentral:lncRNA from 1 species